CCCGCUGAACUUAAGCAUAUAAUUAAGCGGAGGAAAAGAAACUAACAAGGAUUCCCCUAGUAACGGCGAGUGAAGCGGGAAAAGCUCAAGCUUAAAAUCUCUAUGGUUUUUAAUCAUGGCGAAUUGUAGUCUAUAGAAGCUGUUACCAGCAGCAUGUCUUUGGAAAAGUCCCUUUGAAGAGGGCAGCAUAGAGGGUGAAACUCCCGUCUUUGCCAAGGACCAUGCGCGUACGGUACGCUUUCUUUGAGUCGGGUUGCUUGGGAAUGCAGCUCAAAGCAGGUGGUAAAUUCCAUCUAAAGCUAAAUAUGUGUGCAAGACCGAUAGCGAACAAGUACCGUGAGGGAAAGAUGAAAAGAACUUUGAAAAGAGAGUUAAAAGUACCUGAAACUGCUGAAAGGGAAUCGGAUCGUUGCCAGUGUCUAAUGCUCGUGCAUAUUUCAGUGAUUGCCUUUUGUGUCUUGGGCGCGUGGUAGGGGUUUACGCCUCGCCUGUGUUCUGGAUGCGGAGGGCGGUUGCUGCCCUGUGCAUGGGCGUGAUGUCAAGAUCAGUUUGUGUCCCGUGGGAAAUGGCCUUCAGGGAGGUAGAUUGGGCUAGUUUACUAGUUUGGUUGUUAUAUCCUGGAGGAUGCUUGUCAUGGGUGAGACUGAGGAAAAUUCGCAACAUGCAAUGAGGUGACUUGGUGUUCUCUGGCUCGGCUUUGAUUGUAGAGCAUGCUGUGCUUUCGAAGCUUUUGAGCUUGACUGGCCAGGCCACCUGUGCUGUUCGGGAUCUUGGCAAAAUGGAGCGAUCCGGCCCGUCUUGAAACACGG
rnacentral:rRNA from 1 species